UUUCCGUAGGUGAACCUGCGGAAGGAUCAUUAUUGUAUAACCGAGGUGCGAGGGCUGUCGCUGACCCGAAAGGUCGUGGACGCCCGAGUGCCCUCACACACAUCCCUCUCACCCCUAUGUGCACCACCGCGUGGGUCCCCCUUUGGCUUGUUCGGAGGGGGGCUUACGUUUUCACACAAACUUUGUAUGCAGUGUAGAAUGUAUUUUUGUUUUUGCGAUCACGCAAUCAAUACAACUUUCAACAACGGAUCUCUUGGCUCUC
rnacentral:misc_RNA from 1 species